GCGGUUUUUCAGUCCGGAGAUUCCGGCCGCAACUAUUUUUGUCUGUUUUUAUCGCAAGCCAGAGUCUUUGGGUGCAGCUCUGGGACAUCUAAAGGGCCUGGAGAAAUUCAGGCGGGGCCAGUGUUGUGGCGGUAGAUGUUAGACGUGGAAGGGACUCUAGAGAGCCUUGACUGUGAGGACUAAGGGCCUCCUUUGUUGCCCAGGCUGGAGUGCAGUGGCUAUUCACAGGUUGAUAAUGCAAUCAUGGUGCACACUACAGCCUUGAACUUCUGGGCUCCUGUGAUCCUUCUGCCUCAGCCUCCCAAAAAGAAGAAGAAAAAAAAGGAUAUUACCAACAAUGGAAGAGGAAUGCAGAGUGGCAACAGCUCCAAGUGGACCUGGCAGACUAUGAACACUAGAAUCACCAAGGAAACAUGGAGCUAUGAAAUGGCAAAAGGCUGUGUGAAAACCCUGAAGCUUUUUGGUUCAGCCUUUAAAAACCAAAUGAAAACUCAAGAGAUACAAGAAUGUGGUUAUUUUGAUGAACAACUCACAAACUAGUUGAAUUAAAAGAAACUGUGGUUCAAACGAACACAAACCUAAACAUUUUUUCAGUUCAUCUAAUUAAAGUCUAACCAAUUCCUUCUAAUUUAAAAGAUCCAGUUUUGGAUAUAUCCAAGACUAAAACACAAUCUCAUCAAAGUCUAUUUAAUGUGGUGUAAAUCUCAUGGGAACUGUGACUAUCUUCUCUCCCAGUUUAAACCUUGUGGCUUUUCUGAUUGCUCUUUAUAAUGAUUGAUGUUAGUAUCUCUUGCUUAUUUUAUAAGAAAUAAAGAAAACAAAGAUCAUAAAC